UACAGAGGGUGCAAGCGUUAAUCGGAAUUACUGGGCGUAAAGCGCGCGUAGGCGGCUGCCUAAGUCGGAUGUGAAAGCCCCGGGCUCAACCUGGGAACUGCAUUCGAUACUGGGCGGCUAGAGUAUGAGAGAGGGAGGUAGAAUUCCACGUGUAGCGGUGAAAUGCGUAGAUAUGUGGAGGAAUACCGGUGGCGAAGGCGGCCUCCUGGUUCAAUCCUGACGCUGAGGUGCGAAAGCGUGGGAGCAAACAGG
rnacentral:rRNA from 1 species